rnacentral:rRNA from 1 species
UACGUAGGGUGCGAGCGUUAAUCGGAAUUACUGGGCGUAAAGCGUGCGCAGGCGGUUUUGUAAGUCAGGGGUGAAAUCCCCGGGCUCAACCUGGGAAUGGCAUUUGGGACUGCAAGGCUGGAGUGCGGCAGAGGAGACUGGAAUUCCUGGUGUAGCAGUGAAAUGCGCAGAUAUCAGGAAGAACACCCGUGGCGAAGGCGGCUCUCUGGAACGCAACUGACGCUGAGACGCGAAAGCGUGGGGAGCAAACAGG